CAAGAGCGUAUAUUAAAGUUGUUGCAGUUAAAAAGCUCGUAGUUGGAUUUCUGGUACAACGCGCCUGGCCCGCUUUUGUGAGUGCCGGUGCGCGUUUGCCAUCCUUCUAGAAAACGUUUCUACCCGGGUAACUGGGCCGGACUCGCGAUCUAGAUCUUUACUUGAAAAAAUUAGAGUGUUUAAAGCAGGCUUUUGCUGUGAAUACAUUAGCAUGGAAUAAUGAUCUAGGACUUCGGUUCUAUUUUGUUGGUUUCUAGUACUGAAGUAAUGAUUGAUAGGGAUAGUUGGGGGUGCUAGUAUUGGCCGGCCAGAGGUGAAAUUCUUGGAUUCGGUCAAGACUAACUUAUGCGAAAGCAUUCACCAAGGAUGUCUUCUUUAAUCAAGAACGAAAGUUGGGGGAUCGAAGACGAUCAGAUACCA
rnacentral:rRNA from 1 species